UGGAAAUACCAAAUUCGAAAAUAGAACAAAAACCCAACGACUUAGUAAUUCAAUGAUAAGUUUUCCCAAAAAACACUUCACAAAGAAGCUUAUCUCCCUUCUUAUUAUGCUAAGUAAUUCAGAUUACAUAUUGAGGUAUAAAUUGGUAAAGUUGUACACAAAUACUUUAGUUAUUCAGACGAUUUGAACAAAAUAACAGUAAACUUAAAAUGGACAAAAUUUUAUUCCUCACAGCCUUGUGCAUUACUUGUACUUUAGCUGGUCCUCCUCGCAAUUUAAAACCCGUUGACAUUGAUAUUAACAAAUGCCAUGAAACUUGGGCAUUGUCUAUCGAAAAAUUGAAAAUUGCGAAUAAUAAGAUUGUCACAGAAUGUGCAACAAAUGAGUGUUCAAAAGAAAUUCAAUUAAUUGAAAGUGAUACCCUUGGUAUGUUGGCUAUGUACGAUUAUGGGUUAACACAAGUGAUGCAAUGUUUCCCUGCUUGUAAUGGAGAUAAAACAUGUGAAGAGGAAUGUGUUGAAUCGAUGGAUAACAUGCUGCAAGGAAGUAUACUAGCUAUCAAUUCAAUUAUCUACUCCGGUCUAGGGGGCAUGCUGGAUGUCUGCCCAAAUGUGAGCGAAUGCGCACGCGCUGCUUAUGAUGUAUUUGUUAAUGAUCAGUUAAUUACUGCUCGAAGGGAGUUUAUCGCUUGUGCAUCUGCAUAAUUAAAUUGUUUAUAAAAAGUUAAUAAAUAUUGUUUUAAGUAUCAAAAUAA